rnacentral:rRNA from 1 species
UUUUAUUUGAGAGUGUGAUCCUGGCGCAGGAUGAACGCUGGCGGCGUGCCUAACACAUGCAAGUUGAGCGAUUUACUUCGGUAAAGAGCGGCGGACGGGUGAGUAACGCGUGGGUAACCUACCC